GUUGGGUAGGGGAGCGUUCUGUAAGCCUGUGAAGGUGUGUCGUGAGGCAUGCUGGAGGUAUCAGAAGUGCGAAUGCUGACAUAAGUAACGAUAAAGCGGGUGAAAAGCCCGCUCGCCGGAAGACCAAGGGUUCCUGUCCAACGUUAAUCGGGGCAGGGUGAGUCGACCCCUAGGCGAGGCCGAAAGGCGUAGUCGAUGGGAAACGGGUUAAUAUUCCCGUACUUGGUGUUACUGCGAAGGGGGGACGGAGAAGGCUAUGUUGGCCGGGCGACGGUUGUCCCGGUUUAAGCGUGUAGGUGUGUGUUCCAGGUAAAUCCGGUUCACUUUAACACUGAGGCGUGACGACGAGGCACUACGGUGCUGAAGCAACAAAUGCCCUGCUUCCAGGAAAAGCCUCUAAGCAUCAGGUAACAUCAAAUCGUACCCCAAACCGACACAGGUGGUCAGGUAGAGAAUACCAAGGCGCUUGAGAGAACUCGGGUGAAGGAACUAGGCAAAAUGGUGCCGUAACUUCGGGAGAAGGCACGCUGACACGUAGGUGAAGUGAUUUACUCAUGGAGCUGAAGUCAGUCGAAGAUACCAGCUGGCUGCAACUGUUUAUUAAAAACACAGCACUGUGCAAACACGAAAGUGGACGUAUACGGUGUGACGCCUGCCCGGUGCCGGAAGGUUAAUUGAUGGGGUCAGCGCAAGCGAAGCUCCUGAUCGAAGCCCCGGUAAACGGCGGCCGUAACUAUAACGGUCCUAAGGUAGCGAAAUUCCUUGUCGGGUAAGUUCCGACCUGCACGAAUGGCGUAAUGAUGGCCAGGCUGUCUCCACCCGAGACUCAGUGAAAUUGAACUCGCUGUGAAGAUGCAGUGUACCCGCGGCAAGACGGAAAGACCCCGUGAACCUUUACUAUAGCUUGACACUGAACAUUGAGCCUUGAUGUGUAGGAUAGGUGGGAGGCUUUGAAGUGUGGACGCCAGUCUGCAUGGAGCCGACCUUGAAAUACCCCCCUUUAAUGUUUGAUGUUCUAACGUGGACCCGUAAUCCGGGUUGCGGACAGUGUCUGGUGGGUAGUUUGACUGGGGCGGUCUCCUCCUAAAGAGUAACGGAGGAGCACGAAGGUUGGCUAAUCCUGGUCGGACAUCAGGAGGUUAGUGCAAUGGCAUAAGCCAGCUUGACUGCGAGCGUGACGGCGCGAGCAGGUGCGAAAGCAGGUCAUAGUGAUACGGUGGUUCUGAAUGGAAGGGCCAUCGCUCAACGGAUAAAAGGUACUCCGGGGAUAACAGGCUGAUACCGCCCAAGAGUUCAUAUCGACGGCGGUGUUUGGCACCUCGAUGUCGGCUCAUCACAUCCUGGGGCUGAAGUAGGUCCCAAGGGUAUGGCUGUUCGCCAUUUAAAGUGGUACGCGAGCUGGGUUUAGAACGUCGUGAGACAGUUCGGUCCCUAUCUGCCGUGGGCGCUGGAGAACUGAGGGGGGCUGCUCCUAGUACGAGAGGACCGGAGUGGACGCAUCACUGGUGUUCGGGUUGUCAUGCCAAUGGCACUGCCCGGUAGCUAAAUGCGGAAGAGAUAAGUGCUGAAAGCAUCUAAGCACGAAACUUGCCCCGAGAUGAGUUCU
rnacentral:rRNA from 1 species